rnacentral:rRNA from 1 species
AUUGAACGCUGGCGGCAUGCUUUACACAUGCAAGUCGAGCGGCAGCGCGGGGGCAACCCUGGCGGCGAGCGGCGAACGGGUGAGUAAUGCAUCGGAACGUACCCUGGAGUGGGGGAUAACGCCGCGAAGGCGGCGCUAAUACCGCAUAUGCUCUGAGGAGGAAAGUGGGGGACCCGCAAGGGCCUCACGCUCUGGGAGCGGCCGAUGUCCGAUUAGCUAGUUGGUGAGGUAAAGGCUUACCAAGGCGACGAUCGGUAGCUGGUCUGAGAGGAUGAUCAGCCACACUGGGACUGAGACACGGCCCAGACUCCUACGGGAGGCAGCAGUGGGGAAUUUUGGACAAUGGGGGCAACCCUGAUCCAGCCAUGCCGCGUGAGUGAAGAAGGCCUUCGGGUUGUAAAGCCCUUUCGGUAGGGACGAAAGCUCUCGACCUAACACGUCGGGAGGAUGACUUAACCUACAAAAGAAGCACCGGCUAACUCUGUGCCAGCCGCCGCAGUAACAC